UGAGGAUAAAUAAAUCCAAAACAAUCUAUUGGUUAUGAUGAAUGGAUGUCCUAUUUUUUAUUCAUCCAUGAAGAUAAUAAUAACAUCUCGGCGACCAUCCAAGCUGUUGCUGAUCAGUUCAUCCAAAACUGUAUCCUGCCAUCUACAUCAGAGCCACAUUAUGGAUAAUAUUAUUGCUGCGUCCUAAGGUUCAGCUUGCAAAUAAACUCAUCAAGCAGAGGCAGUACUGUCUUGGAUGGAGUCAUGAAUCGCGCAUUUCAAGACCAAUGGCGUGGAAUAGAGUGGGGUAUAAUCGGAGUCUUAGAAGACUUAGAUUAUGUCGAUGACCUCUGUUUGCUGAGCCACACGCAUCGCGAUAUGCAGUCCAAACUUGAUGACCUACAUCGAGAAGCGGGUAUCACAGGGCUCAAAAUUAACUGCCGGAAGACCCAAGAGAUGCGAUCUGGUGUGAGAAAUUGCACGCCAUUACGGAUUGGUGCAGAGGAUGUGGCACGAGUCCACAAUUUCACCUAACUCGGGAGCGUCGUGUCAGAAACUGGAGGUACCGAAGAGGACAUCACUUUGCGCAUUGCCAAGGCCAGAGCUACCUUCGCACAACUUCGCCCCAUAUGGCAGUCACGGAAAAUUUAUUGACCCGAAGGGUCAAGAUCAAAAUAUUCGGGUCCAACGUUAAAUCCGUUCUGCUCUAUGGGUGUGAAACGUGGAAGGUCACCAAGGUAUUGAGUGAAAAAACUGCCCCAAUCAUACAGCACCAAAUUUGAUUCCGGCCCAGUGUAUAGUUUUUUCAACUAAAGUUUUUUGUUAUUUUUGCCUCAAGAAUGUACUUAUUGUGAAUUUCUUUGUUAAUGGCUGUAUAGUUUUACUUGAGUCAAAGAAAAUCGUAGUUGUUGUAUAAACAAAUAAUUUAUAAAUCUAUUAGGGUAAAUUUUAUUGUCGUCUUUUUUUUUCUUAGAAACUUGCAGUACAUUAUUCACUUUUUGGAAACUGAUAAUUACUUGUUAAUACCAUAAUUUAUUAUGGAAAAUUGUACUGUUAAGUAGGUCUUUUGUAGUU